AAUUUCAACUUUGCAUAGAUCCACAUACACAUACCUCAGAUUGCUGCCUUGGGCACAGUUUUGUUUCCUAGCAUUUUUGGGGUAUGAUUUCCUGGCAGAUGCCAGCCUAGACAACAUUUGCUGCAAGUACUUCCCUGCUCACAAAUACUGAGAAUACUUUUUUUUACUGGUCCCUCUUUAGAGCUGCUCUUUUCUUACCUUAUUUCUCACAGUGUUGCUGUGGAUGUAUGGUCGACGCUGGCUGAUUUCUGUAACAUACUGACUGCAGUGAAUCAGUCUGAGGUGCCACUGUACAAGGACCCGGAUGAUGACCUCACCCUUCUUAUCCUGGAAGAGGAUCGGCUUCUCUCGGGCUUUGUCCCCUUGCUGGCUGCCCCUCAGGACCCCUGCUACGUGGAGAAAACCUCGGAUAAGGUUAUUGCAGCUGACUGCAAAAGGGUCACAGUGCUGAAGUAUUUUCUGGAAGCCCUUUGUGGACAAGAAGAGCCUCUGCUGGCAUUCAAGGGUGGAAAGUAUGUGUCAGUGGCACCCGU
rnacentral:sRNA from 1 species